AUUUAUAUUUUAAAAUAUAUCUAUAUAGAUCUGUAUGUAAUCUCUUAAUGAAUCUAUAAAAAGACUUGUAUUUAAAACGGAGGAAGUAUAUUAACUAUAUUGUCAAGAUUUAAUGUUAAAUCUAACUUGAACAAAAGACCAGUGAUGAACAUUAGACUUGUUAAGUGCAGUGAGAGUAGAUACCGAACAAGGCAUGCUUCUCAUUUCUGUUCUGUAUUUACACAUCCAUCGACUAAAGCAGGCCACCUUCCGGUCAGUUACCAUGUCAAAAUCCACGUAACAACCCGCACCUACUGCUCUCUGUGAAGCCUGAACACGCCACAACCGACGCGACUAACCAAAUCUGUGGGCGAAAUCUCCUAGACGAACAGCGGAGCCCGCACGGGCAGGCCCUUGGGCCUCGCCGCGCUGGCCGUCAGCGGC
rnacentral:lncRNA from 1 species